CACUCACUGUGGAGUGCCGGCCUUGCCAGAAGAAGUAGACGCACUUCUCUUUGCCAGCCGCCCUCACCGAGUGCUCCCCCUUCUGGCGACUUCCCACUGCAAACACAGAACGGCAGAGGGACAGGUCAGCAGCUGACACACCUGAGGAGAAGCAAAUGCCCGGCUCACUUCCCCAGGGCCUGCGAGGACCAGUGGCAAAGAGACAGCCUCAGGCCUGGGGCUGGGGAGAAACCACUGGCACCUGGAGGGAAGGUGUGGCUCUUGUGGGCACAAGUGAUAGAGGAGCCGGACGAGUGUCACCAAGGGGCCAGAGCUUUUGCGUUGGCUACAGAGUGACUGCAAGUGCCAUCGGACUGUGCUUCUGCUGCUGGAGGGAUGGUCUGGAAUCUGAACGCUCCCUGCUUUAACUUAAUUCUCUAAAGCUGGACUUUUUCUAAGUUGAACGGACACUCCAAGUGCCUUAAUUUGUUCUUUAAAGCUCCCAGUUCCAUUACUCCAAAGGUGAAGAGAUCUGCCUGCCCCAAAACACACUCAAUUCCCUGUUAUUGUCGUCUUUGGUAACCAGCAUCAGAGAUGAUCACUGUACAUGCCACCUCUGCACGAGAGCAAGAGCGGAAAUCCACGACAGUGACUCUUCGGAAAUUAUUAUUUUGGGGAGAUCCACGUUAUCUCAUCCUCAAGUUAAGAACAGUAAUUAUGCUGUUCGUGCUGACAUGUCAGUGAUGAGUAUUUCCUGCACCUACAAUGUGAACACAGGCCAGGCACCUGCUAAACGUCAUAUACACCUGAUUAUAAAGUCCUGUGAGCUGAGUACUAUAAUCCCUAUUUUCCAGGUGAGAAAACCAAGGCUCAGACAGGGUAACUUUACCCAGCCCACACAGCUGGUAAGUGAGGGCCUGAGAUUCUGAAUCCCAGGCUGUAGGGCCCCAGUGCCUGUGGCCUUCCCUCAAGGGACACGGCUCCUUAUGAAAAAGGAAAGGAGCAGUUCCAAUUGCUUGCUCAUAAGAAAUUAAGCAGAUGAGAAAUGCCACUCCCUAUGGGAGACUGAAGUGGGGGAUGGUUUGAGCCCAGGAGUUUGAGACCAGCCUGGGCAACAUAGUGAGACCCCAUCUCUACAAAAAAUAAAAAAUUAGCCUGAUAUGGUGGCA
rnacentral:lncRNA from 1 species